rnacentral:tRNA from 1 species
CAGAAAAUAGUUUAGAGUACCAGCUUUGGGAGUUGGAGGUAGAGGUUUAAGCCCUCUUUUUCUGA